UACGUAGGGUGCAAGCGUUAAUCGGAAUUACUGGGCGUAAAGCGUGCGCAGGCGGUUUUGUAAGUCUGACGUGAAAUCCCCGGGCUCAACCUGGGAAUUGCAUUUGAGACUGCACGGCUAGAGUGUGUCAGAGGGGGGUAGAAUUCCACGUGUAGCAGUGAAAUGCGUAGAGAUGUGGAGGAAUACCGAUGGCGAAGGCAGCCCCCUGGGAUAACACUGACGCUCAUGCACGAAAGCGUGGGGAGCAAACAGG
rnacentral:rRNA from 1 species